UACGAGUGGUGCAAGCGUUAUUCGGAUUUAUUGGGCGUAAAGGGUGCGUAGACGGUAUAUUAAGUCAACUGUUAAAUUCUUCGGCCUAACCGGAGAUCAGCGGUAGAAACUGAUAUGCUAGAGGGUGGAAGAGAGAAGUGGAAUUCUCGGAGUAGCGGUAAAAUGCGUAGAUCUCGAGAGGAACACCGAUGGCGAAGGCAGCUUCUUAGUCCACACCUGACGUUGAGGCACGAAAGCGUGGGGAGCAAACAGG
rnacentral:rRNA from 1 species